rnacentral:tRNA from 1 species
GAAGCUAUAGCUCAGUGGUACAGUAUGUGCUUAGGGUGCACGAGGUCCUAGGUUCAAUCCUCAGUAUCUCCA